UUGAGGUUCUAAUGUUUUAGAUUAAAAGGGAAGAUAGGUAAAAGCCUACACGGUCCCGCCACUGUGAUGCAGACGAGAAAUACAGACCACUGAGCAUUUGGGAAGGGUAUUUCAAGGACGAAGCUAAGUCAGGAGACCUGCCUUAAACAA
rnacentral:ncRNA from 1 species